rnacentral:rRNA from 1 species
GAUGAACGCUGGCGGCGUGCCUAAUACAUGCAAGCCGAGCGAACGGACGAGAAGCUUGCUUUUCUGAUGUUAGCGGCGGACGGGUGAGUAACACGUGGAUAACCUACCUAUAAGACUGGGAUAACUUCGGGAAACCGGAGCUAAUACCGGAUAAUAUUUUGAACCGCAUGGUUCAAAAGUGAAAGACGGUCUUGCUGUCACUUAUAGAUGGAUCCGCGCUGCAUUAGCUAGUUGGUAAGGUAACGGCUUACCAAGGCAACGAUGCAUAGCCGACCUGAGAGGGUGAUCGGCCACACUGGAACUGAGACACGGUCCAGACUCCUACGGGAGGCAGCAGUAGGGAAUCUUCCGCAAAGGGCGAAAGCCUGACGGAGCAACGCCGCGUGAGUGAUGAAGGUCUUCGGAUCGUAAAACUCUGUUAUUAGGGAAGAACAUAUGUGUAAGUAACUGUGCACAUCUUGACGGUACCUAAUCAGAAAGCCACGGCUAACUACGUG